rnacentral:rRNA from 1 species
ACGAACGCUGGCGGCGUGCUUAACACCUGCUAGUCGAACGGAAAGGCCCUGCUUUUGUGGGGUGCUCGAGUGGCGAACGGGUGAGUAACACGUGAGUAACCUGCCCUUGACUUUGGGAUAACUUCAGGAAACUGGGGCUAAUACCGGAUACGAGCUCCUGCUGCCUGGUGGGGGUUGGAAAGUUUCGGCGGUUGGGGAUGGACUCGCGGCUUAUCAGCUUGUUGGUGGGGUAGUGGCUUACCAAGGCUUUGACGGGUAGCCGGCCUGAGAGGGUGACCGGCCACAUUGGGACUGAGAUACGGCCCAGACUCCUACGGGAGGCAGCAGUGGGGAAUAUUGCACAAUGGGCGGAAGCCUGAUGCAGCAACGCCGCGUGCGGGAUGACGGCCUUCGGGUUGUAAACCGCUUUCGCCUGUGACGAAGCGUGAGUGACGGUAAUGGGUAAAGAAGCACCGGCUAACUACGUG